UUUGGCGUAAAUAUUUACAGAGAGAAAGGAUGUCUGUCGAAGAACUUUCUAUUGCUUUUUUUAAUGCUUUCAAUCUUUGAAGGGUUUAUAAUGGCUUUUUGGAAGAGUGUACCAAUGAUCUCAAUCAAUCAAACCGAAUGGCGACGGGCAGGCAGACAGACAAAGCCAGAUAAACAUUAAUUGAGUCAUUAGGUGCAAACAAGAAGAGGCGUAACUGAUUAGAUAAAAUUGUAUAUCAUUUGAAAUGGUUAUUAAAAGUAUAAAUAAUGAAGCAAGGA